UUCAAACUCAGCUGUUAAAGACUGACAUUCUAGCAAACUUUAUAACAAAAGUGAUCUAUUCUAGUGGGAAUGACAUGAAGUUCAGAAAUAACUUUGAACCUAGCUGAUUGUUCUUGGAACAGGUAAAGCUUAACAAGGGAACAUUGAAGAAGUAAACUGACCUGGAUCUGGCUCCUGUUCUCCUAAUGUCAUGGACAAGGACUCACAGCAACAGAAUAAAUACACAAUUUGAAUAAAUGUGUGAAUGGCUAAUAAGGUUUUUCUAUUACCUACAAGUGGAUUUAGUGGGAUGGAAAAUAGUAGGGAUUAUGGAUCAAUGCAAACAUGUUCUUUUUCUGCCCUGUUGUGACUUAAUACUGAAACACAACCAUG